AGUGAACGCUGGCGGUAGGCCUAACACAUGCGAGUCGAACGGCAGCACAGUAAGAGCUUGCUCUUACGGGUGGCGAGUGGCGGACGGGUGAGGAAUACAUCGGAAUCUACUUUUUCGUGGGGGAUAACGUAGGGAAACUUACGCUAAUACCGCAUACGACCUACGGGUGAAAGCAGGGGAUCUUCGGACCUUGCGCGAUUGAAUGAGCCGAUGUCGGAUUAGCUAGUUGGCGGGGUAAAGGCCCACCAAGGCGACGAUCCGUAACUGGUCUGAGAGGAUGAUCAGCCACACUGGAACUGAGACACGGUCCAGACUCCUACGGGAGGCAGCAGUGGGGAAUAUUGGACAAUGGGCGCAAGCCUGAUCCAGCCAUACCGCGUGGGUGAAGAAGGCCUUCGGGUUGUAAAGCCCUUUUGUUGGGAAAGAAAAGCAGCAGGUUAAUACCCCGCUGUUCUGACGGUACCCAAAGAAUAAGCACCGGCUAACUUCGUG
rnacentral:rRNA from 1 species